rnacentral:tRNA from 15 species
ACGCGGACAUUCUGUCGGUAUAUCCCCGUGCUACGGGGACUUGCCGCGUUACGGGGACUCGUAUAUGUCCCCGUAACACAAUCCCUUUCUGACGGCUCCAAUUCUUGGAUUUAUUGAUUGCCCUUUUAUACCAAGUUAGCAGGAGUAAAUUGUAAUUUAAAUCCGCUGGAAAUUUUACUGGAAACGCAUUUUCCUGUUUUUAAAUAAAGUUUACAAAAUAGUAUUGAUCUUCCCAAAGAUCAUGACGGACUCUCGAUUUCAAAGGCAAAAAGCGCCAACUUGCGUUGAAAUAUGAACAAUCUAGGGUUAGCUGCCUAGGGUUAGCUAGCUGGCUAGGGUUACGUUAGGAAAACUCUAACAUUUUCGUACAGUAUUGAUUUUCGCUUGAUCGAGCGACCAGGAUAUCCGACUGCGAUGCGCGCCUCCUUGGCCGGGCCGGCCAGCCGGGCUGGUCGACUCGCGGCUCUAGCUAGCUACUAGACUGGACGCCAAACGGUGUCGUGAAUGCAUGCACAUUUUUGCAGGAUCGACAUGAUUGCUGUCGACGUCGAUGUCGAGGCAGCUUACUCGACGAGCUGGACGAAGGCUGUAACAAACCUGUGCAGCAUUAGAUCGUGAGGCUGUUUGAACAACCACAUACUUAGACCAGCACUUAGACCAGCUUAGCAUCAGGAUGCAUGUCGAUGUGAAGAGGCUGUGAAACCUCCAAAUGCAGGUAACAAACCUGUGCAGCAUUUGAUCGUGAGGCUGUUUGAACAACCACAUACUUAGACCAGCACUUAGACCAGCUUAGCAUCAGGAUGCAUGUCAAUGUGAAGAGGCUGUGAAACCUCUCCAAAUGCAGGUACCAUACCUGUGCAGCAUUUGAUUGAGAGGCAGUUUGAACAACCACAUACUAGACCAGCACUUAGACCAGCUUAGCAACAGGAUGCAUGUCAAUGUGAAGAGGCUGUGAAACAUCCUUAAAUGUUGGGUAUCGAUGGAUAUAGGGUCAACCACACAGUUUAUCACCCCAAUGCGUCAGAGAAAGGACAUCAAUACUGAAGUGGGUAUGCAAAUGGAUUCCAUCUAUUCAAAACCAUGAAAGAACCUGCUAUGACACAACCAGUAAUGAUGUUUCCCUCAAGCGGAAAGCAGUAGAGUGGACUUUCGUUUGAUUAGUCGCCACUAGCACCACAGAAUUCAUGUACAUUACAGCAGGGGUGUGCAUGAUCCUAACAGACAGCCAUUACCAACAUGAUCAAGGCCAUAUUGAAUGUUAUUGAAAUGUAUGUUUUCCAUAAGUUUCAGUAAAUGGAAAGCAUUGUCACUUUUUGUUUAAAUUCCUAUCGCUUAAAGAGGUAGUUCAGUUUUGGUAAAGUGGGUGCUACACAAAAUAAUUUGUUUGUGAGAUAAUGAAAAUCAAGUGUAAAAUUUGAAAUUUUGAAACAGCUGAAAUAUCAAUAAAUAUAUCCAGUCAGAAUAAAUUUGGGCCCCAAAUUUAUAAGAUGAUUUUUCUAAAAAUUAAUAAAAUGCUUACACUUUUCAAACAUUUUUAAAAGAGGUUUUUAAAAAGUUGUUGAUGAUUUCUUUAUAUCAUCAUUAUUUCAACACAACAUCACAAGCAUAACUUUGUAUGAAAAAUGGUUCAAACCAAUGUUUUUUUAGAGCGCCUUCUUGUGUUUCAAUGGCUCUUUUUGAAUGAUAACAGGUUAUUUUUUUCCAUAGUCUUCGUAAUUUUCUAUAACUUUCAAGCAUGGUGAACUAAUAACUAUUAGAUUGUAGUGUUGUUGUUUUAUGGUAACUAAAGCUUAGCUCUAACAAAAUUGUACUACCCCUCUCAAGGGAAUGUCCACCAUUUACAUCGUCUGAAUAUUUUCUCGUAGAUGGAUGGGGACGAAUUCAAUAUUCAAAUAAAAUGUCAGGUCGAACACCUGUUACCGGUAUUUGGAUUCUACAAAUGAAAAA